rnacentral:rRNA from 1 species
UUUUUGAAAUUAAUUUAAAGUCUAACCUGCCCACUGAGGAUUUAAAUGGCCGCAGUAUUCUAACUGUGCAAAGGUAGCAUAAUCAUUAGUCUUUUAAUUGAAGGCUGGAAUGAAUGGUUGAAUGAAAUAUUAACUGUUUCAAAUAAAUUUGUAAUAGAAUUUUAUUUUUUAGUCAAAAAGCUAAAAUAAUAUUAAAAGACGAGAAGACCCUAUAAAUCUUUAUAUUUUAUUAGUUUUAAUUAUUUAGAAAAAUUAAAUUAUAACUUUGAAAAUAUUUUAUUGGGGUGAUAUUAAAAUUUAAUAAACUUUUAAUUUAUAAUUUACAUAAAUUAAUGAAUUAUUGAUCCAUAUAUUAUGAUUAUAAAAUUAAGUUACUUUAGGGAUAACAGCGUAAUUUUUUUAGAGAGUUCAUAUUGAUAAAAA